rnacentral:lncRNA from 1 species
GAGAUCAGCACAUAUACACACUGGAUAGACAUAGGAAACCCAUGUUUAAGAUCUUCCCUAUGUCCCAGAACACGUCCCUCAAACACACACACAACCAUCUGUAGACAGCAGCAGCUAAGGGCCUAGUUACCCACAAAGCCAGCAGUGGGGACACAGUAAGCUUUAAGUGGACUAUCACCAAGGUCGUGCUUGUUCUCCUAGAGAGAGCUACGAAUGCCCAGGCUGAGGGGCAACUGAAAUCUGUGUAUUUAACAAUGCAAGCUAGCAGAAAGUCUGGCUAUUUUGAAAUACCAAUACCAAUAAAAGGAGCAUUUACAUAGCGUUAGCUGUUUAUACGAAUUUGGCAGUCUUGCCUCCUGAGAGUGUCACAGAGGUCCCAGGUAUUCCUGCUGUAAAACUAGAGAAACUGAGGCUUAGACUGGCUAAAAGUCUGCUCAGGUUCACUGAGCUAGAAUGAGGUGCUUCUAAAACGUGCACUCUAACCUUCUGCUGUAGGAGACUGGAUCUCUCCAAUUAAGAAGCAGUCCUGCUGGGGCUGCCUGCACCCCUAUUGGAGAAGUAGAGUAAUGAUGAUCAUGUGGUUCCCCAAGUCCUAUUGUCUGGAUUCUCUUCAUUCUAAGACGGUGCAUUCUGUCCCUGGAUUUCAUAGGGUCUCUACAAGAAGGACAGUUUCUAUUCUGCUGUCCCCAAAGCAGAAGGCCAUACGCACAUCUAACACUAGGAGUUAUUCUGUCAACAUGAGAGGGCUUCAUAUGCAGCUAUUGGUGAACAACCUGUUGAAGUUUCCUGGGAGCAGAGCCCAAGAUGGUAUAAGGUGCAGGUGAAACAUUUGUAGAGAGUUCUUGCCAGGGAGACAGGGCAGCAAGUAUGGGAGCCAAGCCCCCAGCAAGGAUAUAUGUUAGGGUGAGCCUAGUUCUAUAUACAGCAAUGCAGUAAUGUGUGUCUUGGAGACAAGACUCAGGAUGUGUGUGCUCCAUUACUCCUCAGCCACUUACAGAGUGUUAUCACUUCCAUAGCAUCACCUGAGUAGAGAGCCAGGAGUCCAGAGACUACUGUCCCGGGCAUGCACUGAUAGGUGAAGAGGACCUGGGCCUGGCGUCCAUAGCAUUUACUUCCAUGCCUAAUUAGUAUCUUUGUUGGAAAGACAGCCAUGUGUCACAGUCACUUGAACUGGCAGUCAUCUCAACUUCAACUAAC